UUGUUUCCGAUAGACCCCCGGCUCAAGUCACGAGAUACCACACAAACUCAUAGUAAAGCACAGAACUAGAUUACAUAACAUAAAUACGGCACCCAUAAGUAUUAGAAAACAGAGGAAAGCACACAGAUUCGUAAUAAAACAUGGAACACGGAAUCAUAACAAGAAUAAAAACCCCACCAAGUAAUUCCCUUCACUAGCAACCCAAACCGGCC
rnacentral:lncRNA from 1 species